CUGGUUGAUCCUGCCACUAGCAUAUGCUUGUCUCAAAGAUUAAGCCAUGCAUGUGUAAGUACGCACGGCCCGUACAGUGAAACUGCGAAUGGCUCAUUAAAUCAGUUAUGGUUCCUUGGUCGCUCGCUCCUCUCCUACUUGGAUAACUGUGGUAUUUCUAGAGCUAAUACAUGCCGACGGGCGCUGACCCCCCUCGCGGGGGGGAUGCGUGCAUUAAUCAGAUCAAAACCAACCCGGUCAGCCUCCCUCCGGCCCCGGCCGGGGGGCGGGCGCCGGCGGCUUUGGUGACUCUAGAUAACCUCGGGCCGAUCGCACGCCCCCCGUGGCGGCGACGACCCAUUCGAACGUCUGCCCUAUCAACUUUCGAUGGUAGUCGCCGUGCCUACCAUGGUGACCACGGGUGACGGGGAAUCAGGGUUCGAUUCCGGAGAGGGAGCCUGAGAAACGGCUACCACAUCCAAGGAAGGCAGCAGGCGCGCAAAUUACCCACUCCCGACCCGGGGAGGUAGUGACGAAAAAUAAAAAAAAAUAAAAUAAAAUAAAAAAAUAAAAAAAAAAGGAAAUCCUACCAUUUGCU
rfam:Canis lupus familiaris chromosome 1, whole genome shotgun sequence.